UACAGAGGUCUCAAGCGUUGUUCGGGAUUCAUUGGGCGUAAAGGGUGCGUAGGCGGCGCGGUAAGUCGGGUGUGAAAUCUCGGAGCUUAACUCCGAAACUGCAUUCGAUACUGCCGUGCUUGAGGACUGGAGAGGAGACUGGAAUUUACGGUGUAGCGGUGAAAUGCGUAGAUAUCGUAAGGAAGACCAGUGGCGAAGGCGGGUCUCUGGACAGUUCCUGACGCUGAGGCACGAAGGUCAGGGGAGCAAACGGGG
rnacentral:rRNA from 1 species